rnacentral:sRNA from 1 species
AAAUAAAAAUCCUCAAAAUAUAACUUAAAGCUCAUCCCUCUUUAUCGCGGAUGGACUUAGGCCGUGUUCGUUUCAUCAGUCAGAUGGAUCAUCUAGAUAGAGAUGAGUUUUGAUGUUCGUUUGGUGCCAAAAACGGUUCAUUCAGAUGAUCUAUCCAAAUAAAUCAUCUGGAUGACUUUGAAAAUUUAAGCUAAAUUUUGAAACUUAUUUGGCUGAAUUUAAUUGGAUCAUUUGGAUGGAGAUGAUCCAGUCAAAAAUAACAAAUAACAAAAAUACCUUAAUUAUUUCAAUUGAUUAUUUAUAUGUAUUUUUUCGAU